GACGAACGCUGGCGGCGUGCCUAAUACAUGCAAGUCGAGCGGACCACUUCGGUGGUCAGCGGCGGACGGGUGAGUAACACGUGGGCAACCUGCCUGUAAGACUGGGAUAACACCGGGAAACCGGUGCUAAUACCGGAUAAUCCUUUCCUUCACAUGAGGGAAAGCUGAAAGACGGUUUCGGCUGUCACUUACAGAUGGGCCCGCGGCGCAUUAGCUAGUUGGGUAGGUAAUGGCUCACCAAGGCAACGAUGCGUAGCCGACCUGAGAGGGUGAUCGGCCACACUGGGCAUGAGACCCGGCCCGGACUCAGACGGGAGGCAGCAGUAGGGAAUCUUCCGCAAUGGACGAAAGUCUGACGGAGCAACGCCGCGUGAGCGAUGAAGGCCUUCGGGUCGUAAAGCUCUGUUGUCAGGGAAGAACAAGUACCGGAGUAACUGCCGGUACCUUGACGGUACCUGACCAGAAAGCCACGGCUAACUACGUGCCAGCAGCCGCCGUAAAAC
rnacentral:rRNA from 1 species